rnacentral:lncRNA from 1 species
GUUGCAUGAGUUGUUUGUAUAUUUUGAAGAUUAAGUGCUUGAUGGUUCCAUCAUUUGCAGUUAUUUUCUCCCAUUCCAUAGCCUAUCUUUUUGGGCUUUUAAAAAGGGUUUCCUUUGAUGUUUCUUUGACAUUUUAAUGCUGAAAGUCCAUAGAUGUCUUUUUUUUCUUUCUACACACUCUCCCUUCCUGUUACUGUCCAAUUUCAUGGCUUCCUUUGCUGAACCCUUAUUUAGACUAAAUGGCCCUGAGAUAAUAUAGUUAUCCUACUUCUAGUCAUACUGCAUUGACCAUAUACUCUAUCUCAGUCAAUUCAUAUGCAUUAUAUAUGUUAUAAAUGUGUACUUUAUGUCACUUAGUUCAGAGAUAUUUUUUGUCAGUUUCUGGACUAAGAAUGCACACAGAAUAUUAAGACUGAACCAAAUACAUACAAACACCCCAAAGGACAAUUGAAAUGGAAGCUUAUUUUGUUUUGUUUCGGUACUUGGAAGAAUGUUUGGGGAAGUCAUCAACAUGUGACUGCAGGUUGACCUGUGAGCUGGAUUCAGGCAAUUGGAUGUUCCUCAACAUCCCUUUUUUCCUUAGGAUAUACCUUCUGCCCACCAGCCUCACACUAAGUGCUGCCUCAAGAUUACAGGCUUGAGAGCAAUGAGAUAUUGAGACCAUCUAGAUUGUAUACAUGAAUAAACCCAGCUAAGGUCUCUACAUAAACUUUUAAGAUUCUGGUAGACAGUGCAGAGAGCGACUCAUCUUGAAGCUGUCCAAGACAAGUAAUAUAUGUAAGUUCCCUUGCUUAUUGAGACAGCCACACCAGUGUGACCAUCAGAUUCUACUUGCCCUUUGUGUAUGGGGGCCAUGCACAGAUUAAACCCUGGAAAUUCUCCAUGUUGCCAGCUAACAAUUAGUAAGCCAGACAAGACACCAAGGAAAUGGGCCCUGGGAAAGAGGCAUCCUUGUAGGGAGAUGCUGAGUUGGCCAUUGACACCUAUUUGAGGAUAGGUGGCUUGCAUGUUAGAUGUUUGUAGACUACACUGUCAGUAUGGGGAUGCCCUGAAAACACCAACUGGUCUAAUGCAGUUAUGUGAGGAAGUGCACAGAGCACAGAGCAGAAAAGUUGGGAAACCCAUGGAUGCUGCAGUGGGCUGGCCUCUACCUGGGCAGGUCAGUGGCCACUGAUGUGAAACUAGAGGCUGAAGCUAAUCUAGUUAGAGAAUUGGAAAGAAAGUUGAGGUUAAAGAAGGAUGUGCAGGGCCCACUGCUCUGCUCACUUUUGGGGUAGAAGACAGGGUGAAACAACAGGAUAACCAGUUGGGGACCUUAGUAUGUGUUUUGCAAAGCUAGGAGGGUGCACUGCUGAGAAAUAAGGUCUAGAUGCUUGUGAUAAAGCCUGGUUGGGACACGAAGAGGUGGACUCCCUGGGAAAGUGAGGAGAGGGAAGAGGAGGAUGUUGUAAUUGACAGUGAAAUGGAUGGAGCACCUGUGACAUCUGACCCCUGGUACAAAGGAAGCCAAAGCACUGUAACGGCAACCCCAGCCAGCAGGGAAGCUCCUGAUUCAGGAAAUGUUCUUGAUGAGAGAAUAUACUCCUGCUGAGCUUAUUGUCAUAGCUGCCAAGUUCUAGCAAAAGGCCAGGGAAAGUAUCCAGGCAUGGUUAGUGCAGCCAUGGGAUAUGAGAGUGAUGGCAUUUCUCUGACCAGGCAGGAGGCAGAGAAAAUGAGCCAAAUCACCCCAUACUCUGCCCUCCAGCAGUGCCUGCAUGGCACUUGGGUGUUCAAGAUACUCACUCCCUUGUAAUUUGAACUAUGCUACCCUGAAGUGAUGCUUGGCCCAAUGAGGGAGCUCUUAUUGGCCACAGGGGCUUUGGAAAUCUAUAGAGGAGGUACAAAACAUUCUUAGGAGUUUGAAAUUGGUCUUUAAAGGACCUGACUGGGCUACAUUCACUGCAGGAAUGAAGGCCAUGAUAUUUAAAUUUGUCCCCAGUACCUGGUAUAGAAAACUGAUAUUAUUGUCAUUAUUAUUAUCAUCAUUAUUAUUAUUUGGGUUUUUUUUUUUUUUAGGGCUGUACCUGCAGCAUAUGGAAAUUCCCAGGCUAGGGGUCAAGUCAGAGCUGCAGCUGCCAGCCUACUCCACAGCCAACAGCAAUGUGGGAUCCGAGGCGGAUAUCUGACCUACGUCGUAGCUUGCCUCAAUGCCAGAUCCUUAACUCACUGAGUAAGGUUAGGAUAGAGCCCACAUCCUCAUGGAUACUAGGUGGGUUCUGAAUCUGCUAAGCCACAAUGAAAACUCUGGAAAGCUUGUAUUAUUCUGAGCCCAGUUUUGUGGCACAAGAUAUUCAUGAUGUUGGGCAAUCUAUUGUUGAUCUGAGGGAAACUGACAAAUCUUAGAAAUGAGUACAGGCUGUGCAAAGAUCCAAGACAGAGAGGGCACUCAAAAGCUAAAACGUUACCCCAGUCAGCUGUAAAGUAACCAGUAAAAGCAUAUUAGAGUAUCAUUAGGUAAAACCACCUUGGAGUGGUGGGCUAAAGUACUGUUUUAGACUUUAAUAUAUUUGAAUGAUCAACCGCUAGGGCCUGGUGUCCCAUAUGCCAGACUGGGUACCCCCACUAGGACACCCAAUACCAUAAAGGUAUUAAAGUUUCAAUACAACCUUGCCAAGAAAAUCUCACCAAGGGUCAACACGUCAUAGAUUAUGCUAAAAACACCAAGUUUCAUCACAUCUGAGGCAUUAUCUAUUGAAAUUUGCAAUGGGACACUCUACCAGGAUGGGUUAAGUUACUUCAAAGCCCUGGAUGAUGGGGAAUUACUCAAUCUCAACUGGGAUCCCAUUGUCCUGCUACCAGCCUGACCUACCGAAACACACCCUACCUGGAAUGGAACACGCACCACUGAAAGAGGGGAGGAGGGGUGAGCAUGGUCUGGCGUAGCCCACAGCAAGUCCAUUUCAUCACACCUGACAGUACUGCCUCCCCCAGCCAACAUGCAUGUAGUGCCUAACCAGGUGAUAUUCCUAAAGUUGCAGCCACAUUGAUAUCUAAGGGUCAGGCCACAGUUGUUACUCUUAUAGAAGGGGGAAGAACUUCCAUACAAGUUUCUAGUAAAUACCUGUCUUUUCCAUGUUGGAUUUUUGCUGCUUCUACUGUUUCUGGUCACAAGAAUGGCACAUGGUGAGUAUCUUUCAACAGAGGCACACUCGUAUGCUGGCAAAGGAAUCACUCCAAGCGUUGAGUAUGUGGAAAGCUGCCUCUCUCCAACUCAACAGGAUUGCCACGAUGGCAUCACCAUGCCAGGGAAAAGAUUGGAGGGCCCUAGAGCAGUACAUUAAUGAUGAACAAGCUAGGAUUAGCACUCUUAAUUCAUUUGAUAUUAUCAAUACUAAUACAGACAUCUGACCUGGGGUACACACUCUCAAUAACACUGAGCACGGGUAUUCUUUUUUUCUGUCAAUCAAACUACACAGGCCACCCAACAAACUCCUGACUGGAAGAGUCCUAAAAACACCACAGUUAGCACACUGGGUGGCAAGGCUCAGACAUGGGAUGGGUUUAGGUGGCCUACCCCUGUUAACAGACAUGUGAGCACCCAGGCACCUCUAUGCUGGGAACAGAAAAAUCCCUCUAAACAGGAAGACCCCAACUAUACCAGCUAUAGAGGAAGGCUGUCCCUGGAACUGUGUCGUCAUUCUGUCACAUUAAAGGAUAGUGACUGGUCUGGCACUGAGUGGGUCACACAGCCAAGAAUUUAUUGAGUAUCCACAAAGGCACCCAGUAUUGUGUGACACAAAUCUUUGGCUGUGGCUAUCACCUGGGUUUUGGCCCCUGCACCCUAGGUUUUCCCUGGGCACAGGGGAAAAUCUACCUCAUUGAAACAAAAAUUGGCAAUCUUCAUCUUGGGGCUAGAUGGGCACAUUCUGUUUUCCACUGGUACUUUUUUUCCCUGUCUGGGCCUGGAGGACGCAAUAGCACAUAGAAGCCCUUAGUAAAUUCACCCAUCAAGCCUUAAAUGAUAGCUAGCAAAGCCUGUCCUUAUUGAACACUGAAACGUCUCUAAGGAGAAAAACUGCCCCCCCCCCCCCAAAAAAAAAAAAAAAAAUAAAAUAGAAUGCCCCAGGACAUGAUUACUGCGUCACAAGGAGGCACUUAUGCCAUUAACAAUGUUGUGUGUUCAUACCUGCUUAAUCCGCUAAUAUACCACCUUUGUUAAAUCAUAUGAAGAUACAAGUGAAUCCCCGAGUGACUGAACUUCUCCACCACUGCCCUGGCAGAUAAGAUUUAGUAAAUCAGUGGUUCUGGAUCACGGGGUUCUUGGAGGAGUUUUUGUUCCUUCUAUCAGAAAUCAUUACCGUAAUCCACAUUUUCUCUUGCAUGUGCUAAAGCUGGGCAUCUGCCUCCACUGCAGCCAAGUAGCUGCCACAUGAACCAGCUCCAUGCUGGUGAAACCCGUUGCUGACCUCUGUGGCACACUAAGAAGGAGGCGGGUGAGACUGUAUGCCGGCCAUGAGUAAGGUGUAGGUUGUUGGAUGAGACCAGUGAAAGGGUGAGACUGUGUGCAGAUUGACCCACCAGCAGGACCCGGGUCACUGUCCUCUCCCUUUCCUCUGUCCUUGAAAUGCAUACUCUGCCCACCAUUUCUGUCACCUGCAAAGCCCACUGGGUCCCUGGGAAAAAUAAAAUGGAAUCUAGGCGAUAAGUUCUCAUCUCCUCCUCUGCAGUUAGUCUAGUUUCACAUGCACCUAAAAUGUUGGGCUAGAGUUCCUUGUGCAGGACUGCUGCCCCCAAAACCCCCUGAUUUGGCGGACCACGCGCAGAAACGCCAUGCACCACAGCCUUGGAGUGGGGAGGGCCAUGCGCAGAGUUGCUGCGCCCCGCCGCACUUCACUCUGAAGCUGUCAGCAUCGCGAGUGCUCAGGACUCGCGAGAAUUCUGCUUCCUCCCCGCUUUUAGAGCAGCCCCGCCCUCCACGGGUUGGGGAGAGCGGGCCGCGGAAACCCUGGAGCUAAGACCCUCUAUUCUUUAAUCAAAGAACAAAGCUUUUCUUUGCCUCAGAACCGAGCCUGGUCUCCUUCUGUUGGCCCAAGUGAUGCCUGGGCAGGUAGCCCUCGUUGGGACCCAACUCUCAAGGGUCAGUAGUAUUUCUACAGCGGGAGCCAUUUUCAUUGAUGCAGCCUCCUCCAGAAAAGAGCGAAUUGCUGAGACUAUCUGGGCUGUGCCUAUCAGUGAAUCCUUUAAGGCCUCUAUGGAAGCUCAGAUUCUGGCAGGUGAGGAUGGAGACUACUCAUCUUGUUGCUGACCAAGACAAGUCCUAAAGGUAAGUUCCGGUGCUUAUUAAAAUGGCCAGCUGCCAGUCUGGACUGGCUGCACGUUCCCCAGGUCUCUCCAUGCCCUCCUUGCAUGUUCAUACUUGUGCUAUAGUUUGAGCAAUUUGAGUUGCAAUUUGGGAUCUCUGAAGAGGACUUUGAGAUGGAGUUUGGAAUACAUAUAUAAAUGGAGUUUGGCUAUAUAUAAAUAUCUGAUAUAUAUAUAUUAGAAACCUGUGAAAGAAGAGGAGUGGAGGCCCGCUUGGGCACAGGAAACAGUAAAACAGACUAGACAGACUUAGUACCAACUAGCAAGUUCACCUGUCAGAGUGAUUUGCAUCAGGCUGAACUGUCUAAAUGCUGCACCUCCCCCUCCCUUAGUAACCAGUUGUGGCUGACAGCGGGAGGGUGUCUGCUGAGCAUACUCCCUACAUCAGGUCCUGUCUUUUUGAAGGAUCUGGGCUACAUCAUAUCUAUCCCAGGGUCCCACCUUCACCAUAGGAUCUGCUUCAUAUAUACUCAGAUAGCAGCUCCACUCCAUGGAUCAGCAUCCUAGGAUUUCCUGUUCAGAGCCCCUUCCAAGGUAUAACUGACUUGCCUCAGUUGGGCAUUUCACCUUGGUUGUUGUUGGGCAUUUAACCAUUGAGAUUAUUAGGUCCUGGACUUGGUUUUUGGAUUUUUUUUUCUCCUUCCAUGCAGAUGAUAACAGCCCCUAAUGUAGGCAACCAAACAUACCUCUGGCUUUAAUACUUGGUUUUUCUUGCUUAUUACCUCUAUUGCUUGUUAUCUUUCCAAAGGAAGCAUGAAUGGCUCUUGGCCAUAGCCACUCCACCCUAUUAUCUUUAUAUCUACAAGAUCCUUUCUGAGUUGAAGUGCCUGAUCUUAUCUGUGCUAAUUUAUCCCCCACUCCUUCCUGAGAUACCCUCCCAAUUCACUAUUGGUAAAAAGUAUUAACUGUCACCUUGUUGGAGGAAUGUUCUUCAUCUCCCACCAGUGAUGGUGUAUGUUGUCUGCAGGUUGCUAAGUCAUCUAGCCCCAAAGCCCCAUCCUAUGGCCUUCUUUCCUAGACUCCAUUUCUGAGUUCUCCAGGAGCUGAGAUAGAGCUUAGGGUGCAAAAAAAAAAAAAAAAAAAA